UACGUAGGGUGCAAGCGUUUAAUCGGAAUUACUGGGCGUAAAGCGUGCGCAGGCGGUUUUGUAAGUCUGUCGUGAAAUCCCCGGGCUUAACCUGGGAAUGGCGAUGGAGACUGCAAGGCUAGAGUUUGGCAGAGGGGGGUAGAAUUCCACGUGUAGCAGUGAAAUGCGUAGAGAUGUGGAGGAACACCGAUGGCGAAGGCAGCCCCCCUGGGUCAAGACUGACGCUCAUGCACGAAAGCGUGGGGAGCAAACAGG
rnacentral:rRNA from 1 species